AAAGGUUGAGAACUGCUGCCCUAAAGGAUGGCUCUUAUUAUUGCUUUAAUUCUGUAUUACCUGUAUUCCUAAUGGGACGGUUCGCAGUCACAUUUUUCUUAUUCCUGUGCUCCUAGAACAGUCCUUUCCCAUCAGGAUACUGAUCACAUCUUGAGGAUGUUGUUGCUGGGAGGUCAUUUCCACUGCAGUUUCAUCACACUGCCCUCCUUUGCUUUCUGACUUCAGCCAUGCCAACUCGUUAUCCUUCCAACAUGGUGGAAUGCUCCUACAUCAGGACUUUUAACUUGAAAAGGAAGCAACUGAUUUGAAGCCGAAGAAACCACAAAUACAAGCAGCAUAUGGCCUUCCCUCACUGUGUCAAAGUGAAUUAUUCAUGAGCGUUUGUCAGAAAUAUCCGGCGCUACUGAGUUGUUCUGGAACAAAGAGUACAAAUUCUAGGCAGUGAUAACUCUGCGUGCAAUUCAACUUGUUUUUACUUUCUAUCUGGCCAUGAGGCAGAGCUCUCUGUGCUGGAGCCCUUAGCAUGUAGAUGAAUGAGCUUCAGCCAAUAGAGUAUGAGGAAAAGGAAACACACUCGAUCCUCUCAGGUGAUUGGUAACAUGUGUGUCCUUGCUGUGGCUCCCUCUUCUGCCCUGUGAAUGGAAGGAGCCUCAGACGCGGGUCCACCUGCUGCCAAGCACAUGCUGGCCUCAAACUACAUGAGUAAGAAAUGUGCUUUCACUAGCCUACUGAAUUUCAAACGUUUAUAUUAUAGUAGCACCCUGGGCCUAGCUUAACUAACGAAGCUUUCAGCAUACUUCCAAGUGACAAAAUACAGCCAUUGCUCAGUAUUCAUGGGAGAUGAAGCCAGGACAGCAACAGAUACCCAAGUCUGCAGAUGCUCAAACUCCUCAUUAAAAUGUCCUUGUAUCUGCAUAGAACCUAGACGUUACAACCCUACUUCUAUACAUUAUAUUUUCUGUAGAUGAUGUGCAAUAGCUAACAUGGUAUAGAAAAAGUGCGCAGUUCCUCCACUGCACUGCUUGGACAAUAAUGGGACAGAAGAAAUGCUGUUCGUAUUCAGUACAAGGAUAAUUUCCUCAAAUGAUUUUGAAGUGCAGUUGGUCAAACCCCCAUAGAUGUAAAACUCUCCAGUAGGGUUGUAUAGACUGAAAACUGGAGUCAAUCCAAAACUUUCUUGACUUAUAGAAAGAGCUGGAAAACAUCAAGAAUUUUAAUUUCAGAAGUAAAACGAAUGAAUUUUAAUCUCUGGCACAAAUAAGUUUCCUUCUACUUCCUUAUUAAAACUUCUUAAAUUGCUAUUUUCAGAGAUGAAGUCUGAAUCUAAAAUUGAGACUGAAAAUGCAAAUAUCUCUACGAGAGGCAGCAACACGUUUAUUUUACCGUAAGGUGUGAACAAUGGAUAUAAUUUUUAGAGCUAAAAUUCAGGGAAAGGUGAAAAGAAGCUAAGAGACACAAAGACCCUGGCAGCAAAAGGAACGCAUAAUGAAGAGAGAAAAAUAAAAAGAAAGGAAAAGGACUGUUCAAAGGUCAAAUACCUCAAAGUAUGUCUGAGAACAACUGGAUGAAAUGUGUCAAUCAAAGGCACAACUAUUAGUCUAAUAAUGAUCAUGAAUGGAGAAAUGAAUGUCGGAAAUUGUGAAGUCUGAGGUUUCCUCUUACUUGCAACCUAACAAAUUGCCUUGACAUCUUGUAGGAACCUGUGAAAGAUACAACACUGUCAGGUCAGAGACAGAUCACUGUGCACAGGGUUUAGCAGACCACAAACUUCAUCCUGCUGUGCCAGGCACCAAGGAGGAGGGUGCAGGAGAAAGCCAGUGGAUGUGACACAUAGUGAACGUCACACCUCCGCUCAGGCAAGCUGUGCUUAGGAAAUCUUCAGACGUUGGCUGUAACCAAGACCAAGAGAUACUUGUCCCGAAGAGAGACACUAUCUUUAUUACACAGAACAGCAAGUGAAUCUGCUGAGCGCUUCAGAAAAGGCCAGCUCUUCUGUUUUCCAAAGGUGCUUAUUUGACACUACUCCUUGGAAAGAGAGCUGAAGUGCCAGUUCACCCAGGACAAGCAGAAACACGGAGACACCCUGGAGCAUUGUCUCAGCUAUCCCAAUGGGUCAUAGCUUAGCAUUUCAUAGGGGGGAAAGCACUAAAGGAUGCCAGUGACUCUAAAGAAAGCUGGUGGUAGAGCCUCAAAGAGAUGCUUAGAAAUGUGCUGUGGAGAAAGCCCCGUGUCUUAGAAUAAGACUCGAAAUUCAGUCGGGACUCUUUCAGUUACUACCUAUUUGACUUUGUGAAAGCUGCAUGGUCUCAAGUUUUUCAUCUUAAAGGCAUAGAAAGAUACAUAUUAUAGAAAGAUAUGCAUUAUCUUUACAUAUAUAGAAAGAUAUGUACUAUUUUACUAAUAAUGCAUGGUCUAGUUACUGCAGGAAAUAACCAUAAAUAACCACAUGUAAGUAGAGCAGACUAAUACAUAACACACAUUGCUAUCUCAGUACUUGAAACAUUAACAAUUCACUAAAUAGCCAUAUGUAUUUCAUAGUGUUCAUAGUUCAUUUUCUUAUAUACAUAUGUUUAUAUAUGUACAUAUUCCCACCAUACUUUUAUCCACUUACAAGUUGUAUUAUUUCUCAAUUGUUUAAAUCUGUCACUUUAUUUUUAAAAACUGUAUGUGUGUGUGUUGCACAAUUUCUCCCCCCCUCCUGUUUGUAGUUUCCUCCAAUGGACUGCUCAAAUAAAGUAAGUCCCUUGUUUUAAUAUGAAAAUAAAUCAUUGUCUCAAAAGU
rnacentral:lncRNA from 1 species